rnacentral:misc_RNA from 1 species
UUUCCGUAGGUGAACCUGCGGAAGGAUCAUUAUCGAGUUUUGAAGUGGGCUUGAUGCUGGCGUCUUCACGACGCAUGUGCUCAGCCCCGCUCUCAAAUCCACUCUACACCUGUGCACUUUCAAAGUUUGUAGUCCUCCGUAAUGGGAGCCGCAAAUCAUUUUAUGGUUUGCUGGGAUUGCACUUUGCCCUUUAUCACAAACUAUAUGCAUUGUCUUGUAGAAUGUCAAGCCUCGUAGUGGGCGAAACUUAAUACAACUUUCAACAACGGAUCUCUUGGCUCUC